UACGUAGAUGGCAAGCGUUGUCCGGAUUUACUGGGCGUAAAGAGCGCGCAGGCGGUUGGAUAAGUCGAAUGUGAAAGCCCCCGGCUCAACUGGGGAGGGUCAUUCGAUACUGUCCGACUCGAAGGCAGGAGAGGGAAGCGGAAUUCCCGGUGUAGUGGUGAAAUGCGUAGAUAUCGGAAGGAACACCAGUGGCGAAAGCGGCUUCCUGGUCCAGCACCGACGUUCAGGCACGAAAGCGUGGGGAGCAAACAGG
rnacentral:rRNA from 1 species